rnacentral:tRNA from 1 species
UCCCUGGUGGUCCAGUGAUUGGGACUCUGUCCUCCCAAUGCAGGAGGCAUAGGUUCAAUCCCUGGUCAGGGAA